GGCGUGCUUAACACAUGCAAGUCGAACGGGAGUUUUGAGAGCUUGCUCUUAAAACUCUAGUGGCAAACGGGUGAGUAACGCGUAGACAACCUGCCGAAAACAUGGGGACAACAGCUCGAAAGAGCUGCUAAUACCGAAUGUUGCAAUACCUUCGCAUGGGGGUAUUGUUAAAGAUGGCCUCUAUUUAUAAGCUAUCGGUUUUCGAUGGGUCUGCGUCCGAUUAGCUAGUUGGGGAGGUAACGGCUCACCAAGGCGACGAUCGGUAGCCGAUCUGAGAGGAUGACCGGCCACAUUGGGACUGAGACACGGCCCAGACUCCUACGGGAGGCAGCAGUGGGGAAUUUUCCGCAAUGGGCGAAAGCCUGACGGAGCAACGCCGCGUGAGUGAAGAAGGGUUUCGACUCGUAAAGCUCUUUUCUUUUAGACGAACGGUAUUUACAAUAAUAAGGUAGAUAAGUGACGGUAUAAAAGGAAUAAGCCACGGCUAACUACGUGCCAGCAGCCGCGGUAAUACGUAGGUGGCGAGCGUUGUCCGGAAUUAUUGGGCGUAAAGGGAGCGUACGCGGAUUUGUAAGUCUUAUUUAAAAGUUCGGGGCUUAACCCCGUGAUGGAU
rnacentral:rRNA from 1 species